AGCGGCGGACGGGUGAGUAAUGCUUAGGAAUCUGCCUAUUAGUGGGGGACAACGUUCCGAAAGGAACGCUAAUACCGCAUACGCCCUACGGGGGAAAGCAGGGGAUCUUCGGACCUUGCGCUAAUAGAUGAGCCUAAGUCGGAUUAGCUAGUUGGUGGGGUAAAGGCCUACCAAGGCGACGAUCUGUAGCGGGUCUGAGAGGAUGAUCCGCCACACUGGGACUGAGACACGGCCCAGACUCCUACGGGAGGCAGCAGUGGGGAAUAUUGGACAAUGGGCGGAAGCCUGAUCCAGCCAUGCCGCGUGUGUGAAGAAGGCCUUUUGGUUGUAAAGCACUUUAAGCGAGGAGGAGGCUCCUUUAGUUAAUACCUAAAGUGAGUGGACGUUACUCGCAGAAUAAGCACCGGCUAACUCUGUGCCAGCAGCCGCGGUAAUACAGAGGGUGCGAGCGUUAAUCGGAUUUACUGGGCGUAAAGCGUGCGUAGGCGGCUUUUUAAGUCGGAUGUGAAAUCCCUGAGCUUAACUUAGGAAUUGCAUUCGAUACUGGAAAGCUAGAGUAUGGGAGAGGAUGGUAGAAUUCCAGGUGUAGCGGUGAAAUGCGUAGAGAUCUGGAGGAAUACCGAUGGCGAAGGCAGCCAUCUGGCCUAAUACUGACGCUGAGGUACGAAAGCAUGGGGAGCAAACAGGAUUAGAUACCCUGGUAGUCCAUGCCGUAAACGAUGUCUACUAGCCGUUGGGGCCUUUGAGGCUUUAGUGGCGCAGCUAACGCGAUAAGUAGACCGCCUGGGGAGUACGGUCGCAAGACUAAAACUCAAAUGAAUUGACGGGGGCCCGCACAAGCGGUGGAGCAUGUGGUUUAAUUCGAUGCAACGCGAAGAACCUUACCUGGCCUUGACAUACUAAGAACUUUCCAGAGAUGGAUUGGUGCCUUCGGGAACUUAGAUACAGGUGCUGCAUGGCUGUCGUCAGCUCGUGUCGUGAGAUGUUGGGUUAAGUCCCGCAACGAGCGCAACCCUUUUCCUUAUUUGCCAGCGGGUAAUGCCGGGAACUUUAAGGAUACUGCCAGUGACAAACUGGAGGAAGGCGGGGACGACGUCAAGUCAUCAUGGCCCUUACGGCCAGGGCUACACACGUGCUACAAUGGUCGGUACAAAGGGUUGCUACCUCGCGAGAGGAUGCUAAUCUCAAAAAGCCGAUCGUAGUCCGGAUCGCAGUCUGCAACUCGACUGCGUGAAG
rnacentral:rRNA from 2 species